rnacentral:lncRNA from 1 species
UCACCAAUCACUCUGCUUUUUUUUCUGUAUGUUUAUCUCUUUCAUUUGUGUAGUGUAGUUUUCUUCAUUUGUAACAUUGAAAGACAUUUCCUUUAAUGGUUGGGUAGAUAGGUAAACGAUAAAAAGUUUCGGUAAAUGUUUUAUCGUGGUAGGAAUAUUUUUUUGUGAGCGAUAAAAUAGUGAGAUAGUUAUUUUGGGGUUGGGAAACACUUGAGAGUCACUAUUUUUGAUCGGUUUGGAUCGCCUUGUAGCUACCUUGUUAUAGUGAAGAAGUGCUCGUAACUGUCCCUGCUGCUGUAGAUGUACUCUCCGUAUUGGAGGGGAACUACGUAAAUCCCGGUGUUAGUUACUUACUGUUUUGUGCUUGAAAAUUUUGAGAAUAUUUAUUGUAUAUUGGAUUAUUAAUAUUACCACAGUAAAUUGGUCUAAGGAGGUUGGCUUAAUUAUCGUCAUUAUGGUAUUGCGGUGGUAAUCACCCACAUAUAGUGAUUUUAAGUGUGGCGGACUAUCGCCACUUCCAACCUGCCUGAGAUAUAUUUACUGUGUGUGGUUUAUUAGUGCAUUAUAUUUACUUUAUUCUCGUAUGUUGCGCCACCAAUAAUUAUUUUUUUUUUCGAAAUACACUUAACAUUCAACUAGUUUAGAGACGUUAGUCCAAAUUAGCGGUUGUUAGGGAAUGGGGAAUUGUUCAAGAAUACUAUGUCACUAAUUUGUGUAUGCCAAAAAUGAACUUGCCUUGCAAUUUAAGUUUGAACAGGAGUUUGUCGUGAUUGCAUCCUAUAUCUCAUAGCAUGAAGGGGGAUUCUUUUACACUACUCAUCUUUACUAUUUGUGUUGGUUGUUUGAAUUGCGCUUGAUCAAUCCUCUUCGAGACCCUAAUACAUUAA